rnacentral:rRNA from 1 species
UACGAACCGUCCAAACGUUAUUCGGAAUUGCUGGGCUUAAAGGGUACGUAGGCGGCGCUGUUAGUCGGGUGUGAAAUCCCACGGCUCAACCGUGGAACUGCGCCCGAUACUGCAGUGCUUGAGGGAGACAGAGGUAAGCGGAACUGAUGGUGGAGCGGUGAAAUGCGUUGAUAUCAUCAGGAACACCGGUGGCGAAAGCGGCUUACUGGGUCUCUUCUGACGCUGAGGUACGAAAGCUAGGGGAGCGAAGGGG